rnacentral:rRNA from 1 species
GACGGAGGUGGCGAGCGUUGCUCGGAAUCAUUGGGUGUAAAGGGCAGGUAGGCGGUCCCGCAAGUCGGGCGUGAAAACCUUUGGCUCAACCAAAGGACGUCGUCCGAAACUGCAGGACUUGAGGACGGUAGAGGUGCAGGGAAUUCCCGGUGUAAGGGUGAAAUCUGUAGAUAUCGGGAGGAACACCAGUGGCGAAGGCGCUGCACUGGGCCGUCCCUGACGCUGAGAUGCGAAAGCGUGGGGAGCAAACAGG